UACGUAGGGUGCAAGCGUUGUCCGGAAUUAUUGGGCGUAAAGAGCUCGUAGGCGGUCUGUCGCGUCUGCUGUGAAAACUCGGGGCUUAACCCCGGGCCUGCAGUGGGUACGGGCAGACUAGAGUGCGGUAGGGGAGACUGGAAUUCCUGGUGUAGCGGUGAAAUGCGUAGAUAUCUGGAGGAACACCGGUGGCGAAGGCGGCAUCCUGGACCGGCAUUGACGCUGAGGAGCGAAAGCCAGGGGAGCAAACGGG
rnacentral:rRNA from 1 species